GACGAACGCUGGCGGCGUGCCUAAUACAUGCAAGUAGAACGCUGAAGAGAGGAGCUUGCUCUUCUUGGAUGAGUUGCGAACGGGUGAGUAACGCGUAGGUAACCUGCCUUGUAGCGGGGGAUAACUAUUGGAAACGAUAGCUAAUACCGCAUAACAAUGGAUGACACAUGUCAUUUAUUUGAAAGGGGCAAUUGCUCCACUACAAGAUGGACCUGCGUUGUAUUAGCUAGUAGGUGAGGUAACGGCUCACCUAGGCGACGAUACAUAGCCGACCUGAGAGGGUGAUCGGCCACACUGGGACUGAGACACGGCCCAGACUCCUACGGGAGGAAGCAGUAGGGAAUAUUAGGCAAUGGGGGCAACCCUGACCGAGCAACGCCGCGUGAGUGAAGAAGGUUUUCGGAUCGUAAAGCUCUGUUGUAAGUCAAGAACGAGUGUGAGAGUGGAAAGUUCACACUGUGACGGUAGCUUACCAGAAAGGGACGGCUAACUACGUG
rnacentral:rRNA from 1 species